ensembl:lincRNA
GGAGAAGAUAUUCUCAUGCUGAACAGAGCUGGACACACCUCAGGGCCUUCUUCCACAAGCAAGUGACCAAAUGGACAGCAGUGGACCCCAAACAGCAAGGCAGGUCAGACACGGACACCUGGGGUUCAGUGGAGGCCGAGUGGUGAGACAAUACUCUGCUGCCUGGAAACAGUUUUUACCAAAAGAGAGUUAUAGCAAGCCUGCCCUGGCCUCAUCAAGGUCUGGAGGAAUCCAUAUUUGUAAUCCCGUGGAGAAAUUAUUGGAAUUCCAACAACUAAUUUCAAUCUACCACUUCCAGCGCAAUCCAUGGUUUAUUUGUACAAAGACCACAGGAGGACACCGGGCUCCCCCACAGACAGCAGCCCGGAAUCACACCAGUCCUGUCCUCACAUCAGUAGACAGAGGCUUUUAUUGCAGAGCCUUCUCAGGGGCCUGAGCUGGAGCAGAAGUUGGAGCAGCAGCCUGAGCCUGCGCCUUGGUUACAGCCUAGGCCUUUGGCCAGCAAAGCCUGUGACCCUGGGCAAUGUGGGCACAGAUAUGCUUUCCAAGCUUGAAGUGGGCAAUAUGGGCAAGUAAGCUUGCAAUUCACACCUUUUGGGAUCUUGGGCUUGAGGAAGGCCUUGAUAGCCUCAGUGCGUGCACUCAUGGCCUCCGCAUUGUUUGCCUGCAUCCUCUUGAGGCCCUUCUUGUUGUGCUUCUUGGCAAACACAGAUUCCUCAGGAACCUGGGAUCUACCCUCUUCAAGGAUUCUUAAUGCCAUUUCUGUGCCAUUUUCAGGACAGGUGGAAGGUUGUGUAGUUCUUGGACUUGGCAGUGAGUCAUGGAUGGCAUUGGAUGCCCAGCGUUCAAAACUCACUGUAAGCUGCUUCAAUGCAUUUUAGAUUCUCAACAAAAAAUUGGAAUAAAAAGUCAUCUCAUCCUUUCAGUAGACAGGUCUCCAAAGAAGGUAUACAAAUGGCCAAUGAGCAUAAGAAAAGAUGUUCACAAGAAAAGAUGCAUAUCAUUAGGUAAUUGCAAAUUAACAGCAGAGUGAGAUAUCUUAAACUCGGAGUCCAUUGGGUAUGGACUCUGGGUUUAAAAUAUGUGACAUGCAUUGGUGAGCAUGGAGACUUGGCAUGGUGACCUGGAGAAACUUGUCCUUCAGGCACUGCUGGCAGAGUGUGAUGGCCACUGUGAAGUGUGCUGGUUCUUCAAAGGUAAACAUGGAGCUGCCAUAUAAUCCAGAAAUCCCAGUUGGAAGAUACAAGAAAGUUGAAGACACAUAUUCACAUGAAAACUUGUGCACCUGUGUCCACACCAACUAUUAAGUCAAAAGGUAUACACCUGAAUGUUCAUCACCUGAGGAACGGACAAACAAAGGGUAUUUUCAUACAAUGAAAUAUUCUCCCAUGAAAAGGAGUGGAAAAAAAAAAACCAGGCCGGGGAUAUAGCUCAGUGGCACAAGUACCUGCCUGGCAAGUGCAAGGUCCUGUGUUCAAUUUCUGGUACCAAAAUAUGAAAAGGAGUAAAAGCCGGAUACAUGCUGUUAUAGAUACACCAGAAAGACAAUAUGGCCAAUGAAAGACCCAAAUGUAAAAGGCCACAUAUCAUCUGAUUCCUUAUGCAUGAAAUCUCCAGACAGGCAAAUUCACAGAGGGAGAAGAAUGAAUAUUGUCAGGGGCUGGGAAAGGGGAAUUGGACAGUGAUAGCUAAGGUGUGUUUUUAGGAGCGGGUAGGGGAUGAAAAUGUUCUAAAAUUAGGUUGUCAUGAUAUUGCACGACACUGAAUAUCCCUGAAACAACCCAGAUAUACACUUGUAGGGGGUGAAUUUUAUGGUACAGAAUUACUAUAUAUAAAAUAGGAUUAUAUGAUUAAUUCUAAAUAAAGGCUGGUCAGUGAGCCAAUGCAUCUUUCUGCUGUUGCCUGAGGAAAGUGACAGUUUCAUGUCAUAUUUCCCAUCCAAUAGGGAAUGAAGCUGAAGCUCUGCAAGGGUCAUCUUUAUCUGGACCUCAAAGGCGAUGAGAAGGGUGAGGGAUCAAAGCAUCAUUUAGGAAAGAAAAGGUCCAUAAAGGUGGUGAUGGGAAACAGCAAGGUUCCCCAGGGAUGGUGUUGGUCCCAGGUGAGCAGCUUUGCUUCCAGUUUUCCCUGUUACCACCCAGAACAGAUGUGAGGCCCAUGGGGCAACACUUGGAAGCUGUUUGAGCCAUGACUGGACCAGGUAAUGCAGCAAAGCUAUCUUUUGUGCUACUUAGGCUGAUAACUGAAAACAAAUUAUGCAGAGUAAUAUUGAGAAUUAGAGGGCUUUAAAUUAGACUUUUUUUCUCCAGGUAUUAAUACAUAUGCUGGGUUACCAUACUUUAAACUGAAGUGAAUUUGUAAUUUCUGGGUGGAUUUAUGUAAUUUUCUUAAACACCCUGUGAUUGCUAUGUUAACAAGUACCUAGAUAAAUCAUGGGUUUGAGGUUCUUCCACACAGUGGAAUUAAUACCUGAUAGGGUAAGGACCCCCAUAGCCUUGGUGAGCAACUAAGGGCAGUCUAUGUGACCUCUACAUGCUCUUCUGUAAGACCAUAUUUAACUAUUCUAUGACAUUGAUCACUUAGCAUGCAGGCAGCAUUUCAAGAAAGUGAGUUAAAGACUCUCACAUACCCUUAUUCAUUCAUCCAGAAGAGCUGCGUGUGCCUGGCGACACUGCAGUACAUGAUCAUGCCUUGCUGCAGUUAACUCAAGCUAUACCAUCAGGUUGAAUUUUCUAAAAAGGUGGGAAGCUAAC